UACGGAGGGAGCUAGCGUUGUUCGGAAUUACUGGGCGUAAAGCGCACGUAGGCGGCUUUGUAAGUUAGAGGUGAAAGCCUGGGGCUCAACCCCCAGAAUUGCCUUUAAGACUGCAUCGCUUGAAUCCAGGAGAGGUGAGUGGAAUUCCCGAGUGUAGAGGUGAAAUUCGUAGAUAUUCGGAAGAAACACCAGUGGCGAAGG
rnacentral:rRNA from 1 species